UUGAUUGUUCGUCGAAGAAAAAUAGAAAACUGAAAGAGAAAGAAAAAAGUGUGGGGGCUUCUCGGGGUUCGGAAGAAGAAAAAAGAAUGAAAGGUUUUUCAUAGCUUUUUCGUUCGUGCCUUUGAGGAAAAUCUGCUGAAGGAAAAGUCAGAAAAAGUGUACAGAAAGAGAGCAGAGAGAAGUGACGUGAGGGAGAGAGAAAAAAAAAAACAAAGGAAAAAGUUGACAAGACCCCUACUGUUCACCUUCUUCCCCAUUUCGCUUCUGCUCUACACGGUGUUGCUGCUCGUCCGCCACCACACCACCAUCGUGCGAUCAACGCCGUUUGAAGCCCGACGACUGCCCGCUCCACCGCACCUCUGCACCAGCGAGCUCGCCCCGACGCCGACGCCCUUGCUCCGUCUCUGCCCAAGGCGAACUGCUGUUGCUCGAACGCCGCCCCUGCCCGCGUCUCUGUCUACGGCGACCAUUCAACGCUUGCAACCGUCGACGCCCGUACCAGCAGCCUGCGCAGCUACCGCCACCUCGCCGGACUCACCCCGACGCUGUCCCCGAUCUUGCCUCCGAGCGCCAUCGCAUCUGAAAGCCUGCGCCGGUCCGCGAAGUCGCUGCUGCUCGCGACCCAGGAGGCCGACGCCAGCCCUCGCCACUCCAUCCGUGUCGUCCCCGAUCGGCCUGUCAAAUCCCCCUCGCUGGUGACUUCCGCCCGCGACGCACCAGCCGCCCGAGCCGCCAGCCAGCAUCGGACUGACGCCACGAACACCCGGCGCCGCGCCUCAGCCCAUCUGUCUACCACUACAAUGCUUCAGUAGCCCGUGCCGCGCCUCACCGCCGCCGCUACCACAGCUCGCGUCCCCGCCGUCGCCGAGUUCAGCCCGUCGCUCACCACCGCGUUGGAGCCUCUUCCUCAGUUGAAGCCGCAUCCUCACCUCUGCAACAACCAACGCCGGCUCCACGCCCAAACAGAACCAUCUGCUGCCUUUUCUGUUUUGCUGCAGGUCUGGUUACUGCCGAACCUCGCCGGAGCUCCGACGACCACCCAAGCUCCGGUCACCAGGACCCAUCACCCUUGGCGAGCCACCAUCGCAGUUCAGCCAUUACUGCUUCCUCGCCAUUUCUUCAAGUCCAC
rnacentral:lncRNA from 1 species